AAAAUAAACUGAAGCAAUGGGUCGCAUCCAUCGGGCCAGUUACCAUUGGAUUUCACGUUACAAACUCAUUCGCUUUUUACGAGGAAGGAGUCUACAGUAGUACUGAGUGUGGAAGUACUACAAAGGACUUGAACCAUUUCAUGUUGGUGGUUGGCUAUGGAGUUGAAGACGGUGUCCCAUAUUGGCUUGUACAGAACUCAUGGGGAACGGAUUGGGGCGAGAAAGGUUACAUCAAGGUGGAGAUGGGGAAGAACAUGUGUGGUGUUGCGGCAUAUGCAUCCUACCCCAUCUUGUGGUGAUCGGCCUAUAAAUGCAUGAUGCAUUCUCAUAUUUAUUGGAUUUCCUGAAACUGGCACCUGGAGUGCACAUUGUGUUUAUGUUUAUUGUAACGUAUAAUCUCUUCAUAUGUACCGAAUAAAGCAGCAAAUAACU